ACUCCUACGGGAGGCAGCAGUGGGGAAUAUUGCACAAUGGGGAAACCCUGAUGCAGCCAUGCCGCGUGUGUGAAGAAGGCCUUCGGUUGUAAAGCACUUUCAGUAGGGAGGAAGGUAGUGUAGUUAACACCUGCAUUAUUUGACGUUACCUACAGAAGAAGCACCGGCUAACUCCGUGCCAGCAGCCGCGGUAAUACGGAGGGGUGCGAGCGUUAAUCGGAAUUACUGGGCGUAAAGCGCAUGCAGGCGGCCUGUUAAGUCAGAUGUGAAAGCCCGGGGGCUUAACCUCGGAAUUGCAUUUGAAACUGGCAGGCUAGAGUCUUGUAGAGGGGGUAGAAUUUCAGGUGUAGCGGUGAAAUGCGUAGAGAUCUGAAGGAAUACCAGUGGCGAAGGCGGCCCCUGGACAAAGACUGACGCUCAGAUGCGAAAGCGUGGGGAGCGAAACAGGAUUAGAUACCCUGGUAGACUGUCA
rnacentral:rRNA from 1 species